AUGAGUGGAUUUGUUAGAUGGAAACUGAAAGACCAUCAUAUAUGUGUGUGUCUGUCAUUCUCUGCUCCCCGCCUCCACUGCUGCUUCACAGCUGGUGUUCAUGUGUUUCUGUCUCCAUAACUUAACUGUUCAACAAAAGAGACUGAUAGACUAAGUACUUGGCUUGAAAAAUAAUAAGUGCUGGCAUUGAUGUAUUCAAUUAAAAUUCUUCAAGGUAGUACCCCAGCAUGGCUGAAGUUGAAUGUCUGAAACAAGUAAAAGAUAGAAGAUAUAAAAAAAGAUUCUUUAAAAUCAAAAUAGAGUGUCAUUAACCUUUCUGAAGGAUAGUUUCUUAUUGUGCAUAAGAGUUUUCACUUUUCAGACACAUGUUAUGGAGUAGUCCGUAUACAAGAAGUUGUUCUUAGUAGUGGUAUUGACUAUUUCCAGUUCAGCUUUGGAUUUAGAAUUCUCAUAAAAUAUUCUUUUGCCUUUCGUAGUUGAUCAUUUUCUUACUUUAUUUUGCAAAAAUUAAAUAUUUUGAUUUUUGUCAUUUGCUCAAAUGUCGGAGUGUUCACUACAUGGAACAUUUCUAAGAAUGUGUCUUUGAUUUUUUGCUUAUAUAUCCUAACCUAAGAUAUACAUUUUGAUCCUGUUUAGUUGAUAUCGUUUCACUGCAUUGUGGGCAGGCAUGCAAUAAAUGAAAACUUUUUGUUUUGUGACUCAUAUUUGAAUUAACCUUCAAUUCUUUCCUAUUCUUGAAUAUUUUGGUUGUUCCCUGCCACAUUCAUUUUACACGUCUUGCAAUGAAGACCUCCACAACUUGUUACUAAUGCUAUUUCUAUUACUGAUGUGAUUUUUGCCUUUGUUAACAGUCUUUUAAGAUUUGGUUGUCUUUGGCUGUUGAUAAUUUGUGAUUCUUUAAUUAUUUUUCUGAGGUUUCACAGUUGAUGUAGAGUUGGAAGGUGUUGUUUGGCCAAAAGUAAGAUAUUAUGGUUCCUAGGAUUGUGGGUGACUACGAAUGGAAUAUUUAUGCUUUGUUUUUGCCUUUGCUCUCAUUGUGAGGGAUUAUCCAAAGGACAGAGAAUGCCUUGGUAAUGGCAUGAUUUAGUAAGUUUUGUGGGUAUUUUCUUUUCUCUGAAGGAAUAUUUAUAGUUCUACAAGUCACUUCUCACCUUUUUGUGGAAACAGAAAAUUCAAAAUAUUUCCUUUUUUCAAAAUAAAGGAAAAAAAGAAACAGCUACGAAAAGCAAAAGAAGAAUAAUUUAUAAGAGUGGUAAAACUUCAAGUAAACCAGAUAUAGCCAACUCCAGUUCUAAAACAAGUCACCCAUCACGGAUUACCCCAUAACAUAUGUGCUUCAAAAGCUGUAAACAGCGAAAGCGCCUACACACAAUACGGAAACUUCCUUCCAAAAGAAAAAUUUAAUGCAAAGCUACGUCAGGAUAUUUUAAAGCAUAACACUUUAGAAAACUAUUCAGGUGAGCCUUUGGACAGAAGCCUAUUACCAGCAAAUGAAUUCAGACUCAGUUUAGCUGAGUAGAUUUAUUUGAUUGAAAAUAUUAGAAAGAAAUCCUUCGUUAUGCGGAAUAAAUAUUUAAUUUAUA